rnacentral:snRNA from 1 species
AUGCUCACUUCGGUAGCACAUAUACUAAAAUUGGAACGAUACAGAGAAGAUUACCAUGGCGUCUAUGACACCAUAGGAUGACACACAAAUACCUUUUUU